UCCAAGAUUUAUAGUUCAUAAAUUACACUAUUUACAAGAUUUACAGACAUCAGGUAACGUCCUGUGCAGAGUAAAACAUGGUAGGUGCCACACUCAUUUCCUUUUCCUUCUGCACAGAUCUCAUGUUCAUUAGAUUAUUGUGAUGGCUAUAUUCUAAUUUGGGACAAAUGGAACAGACUUCACGCCGGUCUUGUGGACGAUAAGUCACUUGGCUGGAGCAGUGCUGCUUCCUGAGAAUGCCACAGAGAAGAUUCUAGAUCUAGCCUGCAUACCGUUUCUCUUCUUCAACAGGCACAAGACUCGUAAAUGUGAGGGAAAAAAAAAUCAGGGGUUACAAACUGUGCCAACGCAUUGCUGUAUCUCAAGAAUUUCCCAUUCAGCUGUGUGAUGGCUGAUUAAAGCAAGAGUCACAGGGAGCCACAAUUAAAUGUGGGAUCCAAGGUGCCCAGUGUGUAUGAAGCUCCAGGAACCCCAGCCCGGGACAGCCGCAGCUCCAAACAGCCAGUGAAUUCACCAAGUAUCUACAGUCUAAGUAGAGAACAACCAUCCAUGAGACCAUUCCUUCAGGAUUAGGAGAAGUAGCUCUUCCACAAAUCCAUAGAAACACACAGAGAAUGUUCCAAAAAAGAAUAAGACAAAGCCU
rnacentral:lncRNA from 12 species